rnacentral:rRNA from 1 species
CCUACGGGAGGCUGCAGUGGGGCAUAUUGCACAAUGGGGGAAACCCUGAUGCAGCGACGCCGCGUGAAGGAAGAAGUAUUUCUGUAUGUAAACUUCUAUCAGCAGGGAAGCAAAUGACGGUACCUGACUACGACGCCCCGGCUCACUACGUACCAGCAGCCGCGGGAAUACGUAGGGGGCAAGCGUUAUCCGGAUUUACUGGGUGUAAAGGGCGCGUAGGCGGUUUAGCAAGUCAGAAGUGAAAGCCCGGGGCUCAACUCCGGGACUGCUGUUGAAACUGUUGAACUAGAUUGCAGGAGAGGUAAGUGGAAUUCCUAGUGUAGCGGUGAAAUGCGUAGAUAUUAGGAGGAACACCAGUGGCGAAGGCGGCAUACUGGACUGUAAAUGACGCUGAGGCUCGAAAGCGUGGGGAGCAAACAGGAUUAGAUACCCCGGUAGUC